UCGAGAAUCAUUCGCAAUGGGCGAAAGCCUGACGGUGCGACGUCGCGUGGAGGAUGAAGGUCUUCGGAUUGUAAACUCCUGUCAUGUGGGAUAAAUGGCCCGGAGUCGAACAGACUCUGGGAAUGAUAGUACCACAGGAGGAAGGGACGGCUAACUCUGUGCCAGCAGCCGCGGUAAUUCAGAGGUCCCGAGCGUUGUUCGGAUUUACUGGGCGUAAAGGGAGCGUAGGCGGUUUGGUGUGUCGAAUG
rnacentral:rRNA from 1 species